rnacentral:misc_RNA from 1 species
GUGAAGAACGCAGCGAAAUGCGAUACGUAAUGUGAAUUGCAGAUUUCAGUGAAUCAUCGAAUCUUUGAACGCACAUUGCGCCCGCUAGUAUUCUGGCGGGCAUGCCUGUUCGAGCGUCAUUUCAACCAUCAAGCCCUAGGCUUGCGUUGGAGCCCUGCGGCUGCCGCAGGCUCCCAAAUCCAGUGGCGGGCUCGUCGUCGUACCGAGUGCAGUAAACAUCCUCGCUCAGGGAACGUGACGGGUUCUUGCCGUGAAACCCCCCACAUAUCAAGGUUGACCUCGGAUCAGGUAGGAAUACCCGCUGAACUUAAGAAUAUCAAUAAGCGGAGGA